UACGUGGGGGGCCAGCGUUGUCCGGAUUUAUUGGGCGUAAAGAGCGUGUAGGCGGCCAGGUAGGUCUGGUGUGAAAACUCGAGGCUCAACCUCGAGAUGUCAUCGGAAACCAUCUGGCUAGAGUCCGGAAGAGGAGAGUGGAAUUCCUGGUGUAGCGGUGAAAUGCGCAGAUAUCAGGAAGAACACCUAUGGCGAAGGCAGCUCUCUGGGACGGUACUGACGCUGAGACGCGAAAGCGUGGGGAGCGAACAGG
rnacentral:rRNA from 1 species